rnacentral:piRNA from 1 species
CUGCUCUACAAUAACCACAUCAUGGCGGU